rnacentral:rRNA from 1 species
ACGGGGGGGGCAAGCGUUGUUCGGAAUUACUGGGCGUAAAGGGUUUGUAGGUGGCUUGCUAAGUCAGACGUGAAAUCCCUCAGCUUAACUGGGGAACUGCGUCUGAGACUGGCGAGCUUGAGUGCAGGAGAGGAACGCGGAAUUCCAGGUGUAGCGGUGAAAUGCGUAGAUAUCGUGAGGAACACCAGAGGCGAAGGCGGCUACCUGGACAAUUGCUGACGCUCAGGCACGAAAGCGUGGGGAGCAAAAGGGA